GACGAACGCUGGCGGCGUGCUUAACACAUGCAAGUCGAACGGAAAGGCCCUGCUUUUGUGGGUUGCUCGAGUGGCGAACGGGUGAGUAACACGUGAGUAACCUGCCCUUGACUUUGGGAUAACUUCAGGAAACUGGGGCUAAUACCGGAUAGGAGCUCCUGCUGCAUGGUGGGGGUUGGAAAGUUUCGGCGGUUGGGGAUGGACUCGCGGCUUAUCAGCUUGUUGGUGGGGUAGUGGCUUACCAAGGCUUUGACGGGUAGCCGGCCUGAGAGGGUGACCGGCCACAUUGGGACUGAGAUACGGCCCAGACUCCUACGGGAGGCAGCAGGGGGGAAUAUUGCACAAUGGGCGGAAGCCUGAUGCAGAAACGCCGCGUGCGGGAUGACGGCCUUCGGGUUGUAAACCGCUUUCGCAUGUGACGAAGCGUGAGUGACGGUAAUGGGUAAAGAAGCACCGGCUAACUACGUG
rnacentral:rRNA from 1 species